CUACGCCAUGGAUCUCCUCGGCGGGAUGUAUCGCUAUGCCAUCCAAGGUUCUUGUGCCACCCGGGAUAUGAUUUUCAAGGAAACUUCGCCAUUCGUGGCAUAUAAUGGAUACCUAUCCAAGACAUCAUGUGGCAGUGUGCUGCAAAUAUGGAGGGUCAAGAGGAAAACAAGGGGGGAGCAAGAAGAGAUGCAUACAGUUGAUAUUGAGGUGUACAUGACUGACCUUGACAAGCAGCAGAUAGUUCGUGUGCGGACGUUGGGGGAUUACGCGUUGUUCAUCGGGCACAACUAUACUUGUUGCCUUUCCACACAGGACUACCCAGGGCUUCUGCGGAACCAUGUCUAUUUUACGGACGAUGACGAGUAUUGGCUGAUAGAUUCGAAAGACAAUCGUCGGGAUGUUGGAAUACUAGAUUUGGAGGAUUUAAGUGCCACUGAUGUUGUAUCUCCUCAACCAUGGUUGAAUUGGCCAAUUCCCGUAUGGAUCACUCCAAGUUUUAAUAAGAUCCAUAAAUAGGUCUCGGAAGAGAAUGCUCUUGCUUGUCAUAAAUAAUUUACUCCAGAACUAUUCUGGUGUAGUUGUUCUGCGAAGAAGACAGUAUGUUUGUGGGAAGAGAAUGCUCUUGCUUGUCAUAAAUAAUUUACUCCAGAAAUAGUCUGGUGUUUCUGCAUAUCCUGGCCUGUGAAGAAGACAUAGUAAUGAUUGUACUAUAAUUUAGCUUCAAAAAAUUUGUAUGCGCAGUGAACAUGAGGACAAUUGUGCCACUUAGCUGUCAAUUGUUACUUGGAAAAUAGCUGCAAGAGAUUGUCUUGGUGCUGCAUAGAGAAAAUGCAUGUUGGAUCCGUUUUUAAUUGGCAGUCA